UUUUUUUUUUUUUUUUUUUGUCUUUUUAGGACCGUACCCAUAGUAUAUGGAGGUUCCCAGGCUAGGGGCUGAGUCGGAGCUGCAGUUGUGGGGCUACACCUCAGCCACAGCCACAGCCACAGCCACAGCCACGAGGGAUUCCCGACCCACUGAGCAAGGCCAGGGAUUGAGCCUUGUCCUCAUGGAUUCUAGUCCGGUUUGUCACCGCGGAGCCACGACAGGAACUCCUGAAACGCAUUUUUACAUAUGUCACAUAACAUGGGUCAGAACCUCAAAAUCUCAAAAUCGUGGCUGCCCCCCCAGAGUGCAGGCCACUCAGACUCCAACCAGCAGUCCUCAAGAAGAUCACCUGCUCCCUCUGUUCAAAGGUCUGCUUGUUGCUUACUGAUUGUCUUUUUGUCGUGGGAAUGUGCCUGCUCCCCUGGUUCUCCGUGUGCUCUGCCCUGGCACAGUGUGUUGCGGGGCAGGGCAGCGAGGCCCGAGGAGGGCAUAGGUUAUUAUCUAAGGACACAGGGCACUGUCAGGUGCAUAGCCCCAAACCUGCCACCCACCCGAGGAGAGUUCUUACACAGUGACAAUUCCCGGCAGUGUCUUGUUACAUUAGCCUUUCCUUUUCUUUCUAGAUUUAAAACACUUCCCUGAUGUAUAAGUAAUUUCUUUAAAAAAUCUGGAAGUAGCUAUAAUGUUACAGCAGGAAGUUAGCAUUAGGAGACCAAAGUUUCAAUUUCCCCCCAUUAUUUUGUUCUUCAUUUAUUGAAUAGCAGCCUAGACUUUAAUCUGUAGGUUAGCAUAAAGUUCUGUGCCCCCUGCAGGAGGCUGGAGCCAAUAGUGCCGUCAUUCAAUUGCCACUUUAAGGCUCCGCUUAUCCUUGCAGCUCACACUCCUUCCCCAUCUCCACACCUUGGGCAAUCACAUGUUUCUUAACAGCCAGAUUUAUUUAUUUAUUAUUAUUAUUGCUUUUUAUAGCUGCACUCAUGGCAUGUGGAGGUUCUCAGGCUAGGGGUCUACACCACAGCCACAGCAACGCAGGAUCUGAGCCACAUCUGCAACCUACGCCACAGCUCACGGCAAUGCCAGAUCCUUAACCCACUGGGCAAGGCCAGGGAUUGAACCCGUGUCCUCAUGGAUGCGAGUAAGAUUCGUUAACAACUGAGCCAGGAUGGGAACUCCUUAACAGCCAGCUUUUAAUUAGUUCUCUCUCUCUCUCCUUUUCCCAAUAAUCUAAUGUAACUACGAGAGAAAAAUCUUGCUUUGCAUUGCUCUGACUCUAGUCUAGUGCUGCCCAAACAACCUAUGGUAAGGGGCUGAUUUCUUUACAUUUCCACUGCAACUUUGUAAAAUGCAAUCAAAUGUAAAUUAGCAGAAGUGAGAAUUUUAAAAUCUAAAGGAAAUGGGAGUUUCCACUGUGGCACAAUGGGUUAAUGAUCUCUCUUGUCUCUGUGGUGGUGCUGGUUCGAUCCCCAGCCGAGCACAGUGGGUUAAAGGAUCUGAAGUUGCUGCAGCUGUGGUGUAGGUUGCAGCUGUGGCUCGGAUUCAAGCCCUGGUCUGGGAACUUCCAUAUGCCACAGAUGUGGCAAUAAAAUUUAAAAAAGAAAGAAAAAAGAAAUUGCUGCAGCCACCCCAACCUUCAGACACCACUGCCCUGAUCAGUCAGCAGUCAUCAACACUGAGGAAGACUCUCCAACAGCAAAUAGAUUACAAUUCCCUGAAGAAUGUAGCAUAAUGACAGGUAGCAUUUUUUAGCAAUAAAGUCUUUUUUUUUUUUGGCUGCAUCAGCAGCACACAAAAAUUCCCAGGAAGGGAUUGAACCUGCACCACAGCAGCGACAAUGCUUAACCUGCUGUGCCAAAAGAGAACACCAGCAAUGAAGUAUUUUAUUUUUUAUUUUUUGCUUUAUUUAUUUAUUUUUUUUUAGGGCCAAACCCUCGGCAUAUGGAGGUUCCCAGGCUAGGGGUCUAAUUGGAGCUGUAGUUGCCAACCUACACCUCAGCCACAGCAACUCUGGAUCCCAGCUGAAUCUGUGACCUACACCACAGCUCAUGGCAAUGGUGGAUCCUUAACCCACUGAGCGGGGCCAGGGAUCAAACAAGCAUCCUCAUGCAUCCUGGUUGGGUUCAUUACCCGUGAGCCACAAUAGGAACUCCCCAAACCCAUUUCUCUAACUCUAUUUCCCACUAUUCUUUUUAUCCACCUUUGAGCCAAACUUAAUUCUCUACUUUUUCUCAGACAUGCCCCAAGGUCUCCUGUCUACAUGCCUUUCUUCAUGUUACUUCCCUGGCCUGGAACACCCCUUUCCAGGUCACCCCAUCCGCUUUAGCUCAUCUCAAGUACCGUCUCCACAAAGCCUCUUUCUUCCUCUCAGAAGUGACUGCUCCCCCUUGGGAAGUCCCCAGAGCUUUAGCUGUCUCAUCCUUUUCUCUUUCUGUGUUUCUUUCUUUCUCUCUGUCUCCCUUUCUCUCUCUCUUUCUCUCCCUUUCUCUCUCUUUCUCUCUCUCUCUCUCUCUCUCUCUCUCGUAUUUUUACAGCCACAUAUGGAGGUUCCCAGGCUAGGAGUCUAAUCAGCUGUAGCAACUGGCCUACACCAGAGCCACAGCAACUCGGGAUCCCAGCCUCGUCUGCAACCUACACCACAGCUCACGGCAACGCCGGAUCCUUAACCCACUGAGCAAGGCCAGGGAUCGAACCUGGGUCCUCACGGAUUCUAGUCAGAUUCAUUUCCACUGAGCCACGACCGGAACUCCUGUAUCAUCCUUUUCAUCUUCGAGCUCUUGUCUCCUCUACUAGAUCCUAAGCACCCCUUAGGGCAGGGAGUGCCUUUCAUCCACUCCCAUAUAUUCAGUUCUUUGGAUAGCGUAGGUACUCAGCAAAUGUUGGUUGAAUUAAGGACUAUCAUUUGUAAAGCAUGGAAAGGGUGAGCAGAAGGCUGUUUGAGAAUAGGGAACGGGUAAAUUACUCGGAGAGAAGAAACCAAAAAAAAAAAAAAAAAAAAA
rnacentral:lncRNA from 1 species